CCCUGCGGAUGGAGCUGAGACCAGUCGAAGAUACCAGCUGGCUGCAACUGUUUAUUAAAAACACAGCACUGUGCAAACACGAAAGUGGACGUAUACGGUGUGACGCCUGCCCGGUGCCGGAAGGUUAAUUGAUGGGGUUAUCCGUAAGGAGAAGCUCUUGAUCGAAGCCCCGGUAAACGGCGGCCGUAACUAUAACGGUCCUAAGGUAGCGAAAUUCCUUGUCGGGUAAGUUCCGACCUGCACGAAUGGCGUAAUGAUGGCCAGGCUGUCUCCACCCGAGACUCAGUGAAAUUGAACUCGCUGUGAAGAUGCAGUGUACCCGCGGCAAGACGGAAAGACCCCGUGAACCUUUACUAUAGCUUGACACUGAACAUUGAGCCUUGAUGUGUAGGAUAGGUGGGAGGCUUUGAAGCGUGGACGCCAGUCUGCGUGGAGCCAACCUUGAAAUACCACCCUUUAAUGUUUGAUGUUCUAACGUUGGCCCCUUACCGGGGUUGCGGACAGUGUCUGGUGGGUAGUUUGACUGGGGCGGUCUCCUCCCAAAGCGUAACGGAGGAGCACGAAGGUUAGCUAAUCCUGGUCGGACAUCAGGAGGUUAGUGCAAUGGCAUAAGCUAGCUUGACUGCGAGCGUGACGGCGCGAGCAGGUGCGAAAGCAGGUCAUAGUGAUCCGGUGGUUCUGAAUGGAAGGGCCAUCGCUCAACGGAUAAAAGGUACUCCGGGGAUAACAGGCUGAUACCGCCCAAGAGUUCAUAUCGACGGCGGUGUUUGGCACCUCGAUGUCGGCUCAUCACAUCCUGGGGCUGAAGUAGGUCCCAAGGGUAUGGCUGUUCGCCAUUUAAAGUGGUACGCGAGCUGGGUUUAGAACGUCGUGAGACAGUUCGGUCCCUAUCUGCCGUGGGCGCUGGAGAAUUGAGGGGGGCUGCUCCUAGUACGAGAGGACCGGAGUGGACGCAUCACUGGUGUUCGGGUUGUCAUGCCAAUGGCACUGCCCGGUAGCUAAAUGCGGAAGAGAUAAGUGCUGAAAGCAUCUAAGCACGAAACUUGCCCCGAGAUGAGUUCUCCCUGAGACUUUAAGUCUCCUGAAGGAACGUUAAAGACGAUGACGUUGAUAGGCCGGGUGUGUAAGCGCAGCGAUGCGUUGAGCUAACCGGUACUAAUGAACCGUGAGGCUUAACCUU
rnacentral:rRNA from 1 species